GAUGAACGCUGGCGGCGUGCCUAAUACAUGCAAGUCGAGCGAACAGACGAGGAACUUGCUCCUCUGACGUUAGCGGCGGACGGGUGAGUAACACGUGGAUAACCUACCUAUAAGACUGGGAUAACUUCGGGAAACCGGAGCUAAUACCGGAUAAUAUAUUGAACCGCAUGGUUCAAUAGUGAAAGACGGUUUUGCUGUCACUUAUAGAUGGAUCCGCGCCGCAUUAGCUAGUUGGUAAGGUAACGGCUUACCAAGGCAACGAUGCGUAGCCGACCUGAGAGGGUGAUCGGCCACACUGGAACUGAGACACGGUCCAGACUCCUACGGGAGGCAGCAGUAGGGAAUCUUCCGCAAUGGGCGAAAGCCUGCCGGAGCAACGCCGCGUGAAUGAUGAAGGUCUUCGGAUCGUAAAACUCUGUUAUUAGGGAAGAACAAAUGUGUAAGUAACUAUGCACGUCUUGACGGUACCUAAUCAGAAAGCCACGGCUAACUACGUG
rnacentral:rRNA from 1 species